rnacentral:rRNA from 1 species
AGGGUAUGGCUGUUCGCCAUUUAAAGUGGUACGCGAGCUGGGUUCAGAACGUCGUGAGACAGUUCGGUCCCUAUCUGUCGUGGGCGUUGGAGAUUUGAGAGGGGCUGCUCCUAGUACGAGAGGACCGGAGUGGACGAUUCCCUGGUGUUCCGGUUGUCACGCCAGUGGCACUGCCGGGUAGCUAUAAUCGGAAGCGAUAACCGCUGAAAGCAUCUAAGCGGGAAGCGCGCCUCAAGAUGAGAUCUCCCGGAGCACAAGCUCCCUGAAGGGCCCAGGUAGACUACCUGGUUGAUAGGGUGGGUGUGUAUCGCAGCAAUGCCGAGCUAACCACUACUAAUGACCCGUGCGGCUUGAUCAUAUAACUCCAA